UCUUUCGGCCUAAGGGGCUGACACUCUAUAAUUGAGGGAGGACAGACAUCGAGGUUUGUAUGGGGAUAAAGUACCGCCAUACAAAGAAUGAGAAUUUCAAAUUGACAGAUCAAACAAAUAUGAUAGUGCCAAUAUGUAAUUAUGAAAUCAUAUGAAUGUAUAUGUAUAUAUAUGUAUAUGAUGAUUAUGCUGACAAAACGAUCACGAAGGAUACAAAGGUGUCGCAAAGAAUUUGAAUCAUCG
rnacentral:lncRNA from 1 species